rfam:Danio rerio chromosome 1, GRCz11 reference primary assembly.
UGUGUUCACAUGUGUAAAUCGCUUUGGAUAAAAGCAUCUGCUAAAUGCAUAAAU